rnacentral:rRNA from 1 species
UGGGGAAUAUUGCACAAUGGGCGCAAGCCUGAUGCAGCCAUGCCGCGUGUGUGAAGAAGGCCUUCGGGUUGUAAAGCACUUUCAGCGAGGAGGAAGGUGGUGAACUUAAUACGUUCAUCAAUUGACGUUACUCGCAGAAGAAGCACCGGCUAACUCCGUGCCAGCAGCCGCGGUAAUACGGAGGGUGCAAGCGUUAAUCGGAAUUACUGGGCGUAAAGCGCACGCAGGCGGUUUGUUAAGUCAGAUGUGAAAUCCCCGGGCUCAACCUGGGAACUGCAUUUGAAACUGGCAAGCUAGAGUCUCGUAGAGGGGGGCUAGAAUUCCAGGUGUAGCGGUGAAAUGCGUAGAGAUCUGGAGGAAUACCGGUGGCGAAGGCGGCCCCCUGGACGAAGACUGACGCUC